rnacentral:rRNA from 1 species
GAUGAACGCUGACAGAAUGCUUAACACAUGCAAGUCAACUUGAAUUUGGGUUUUUAACUUGGAUUUGGGUGGCGGACGGGUGAGUAACGCGUAAAGAACUUGCCUCACAGCUAGGGACAACAUUUAGAAAUGAAUGCUAAUACCUGAUAUUAUGAUUUUAAGGCAUCUUAGAAUUAUGAAAGCUAUAAGCACUGUGAGAGAGCUUUGCGUCCCAUUAGCUAGUUGGAGAGGUAAUAGCUCACCAAGGCGAUGAUGGGUAGCCGGCCUGAGAGGGUGAACGGCCACAAGGGGACUGAGACACGGCCCUUACUCCUACGGGAGGCAGCAGUGGGGAAUAUUGGACAAUGGACCAAGAGUCUGAUCCAGCAAUUCUGUGUGCACGAUGAAGUUUUUCGGAAUGUAAAGUGCUUUCAGUUGGGAAGAAAUAAAUGACGGUACCAACAGAAGAAGUGACGGCUAAAUACGUGCCAGCAGCCGCGGUAAUACGUAUGUCACGAGCGUUAUCCGGAUUUAUUGGGCGUAAAGCGCGUCUAGGUGGUUAUGUAAGUCUGAUGUGAAAAUGCAGGGCUCAACUCUGUAUUGCGUUGGAAACUGUAUAACUAGAGUACUGGAGAGGUAAGCGGAACUACAAGUGUAGAGGUGAAAUUCGUAGAUAUUUGUAGGAAUGCCGAUGGGGAAGCCAGCUUACUGGACAGAUACUGACGCUAAAGCGCGAAAGCGUGGGUAGCAAACAGG